CAGUAGCCGCGGUAAUACGUAGGUGGCAAGCGUUAUCCGGAAUUAUUGGGCGUAAAGCGCGCGUAGGCGGUUUUUUAAGUCUGAUGUGAAAGCCCACGGCUCAACCGGGGAGGGUCAUUGGAAACUGGGAAACUUGAGUGCAGAAGAGGAGAGUGGAAUUCCACGUGUAGCGGUGAAAUGCGUAGAGAUGUGGAGGAACACCAGUGGCGAAGGCGACUCUCUGGUCUGUAACUGACGCUGAGGAGCGAAAGCGUGGGGAGCGAACAGGAUUAGAUACCCCAGUAGUCCCUGUCUCUUAUAC
rnacentral:rRNA from 1 species